rnacentral:rRNA from 1 species
CGCACGGGUGCGUAACGCGUAACCAACCUACCCACAACUGGGGGAUAGCCCGCCGAAAGGCGGAUUAAUACCGCAUAAGCUCUGUUCUUGGCAUCAAGAAUUUAGUAAAGAUUUAUUGGUUGUGGAUGGGGUUGCGUGCCAUUAGCUAGUUGGUGAGGUAACGGCUCACCAAGGCGACGAUGGCUAGGGGAGCUGAGAGGCUGGUCCCCCACACGGGCACUGAGAUACGGGCCCG